GGGGCCUCCCUACCCCCUCCGGCUUUUGCUCUUAGGGACCUGCCUUGGUCCCUGCCGGUUUCGACAACAAAAUACUACAGGCUGGUGGCCUGUAAACAACACAUCUAUUUCCCACAGUUCUGGAGGCUGGAAGUCCAAGGUCCAAGGCCCCCACAGAUUCGGGGUGAGGUUAGGGUCCACGUCCUGGUGGUCUUCUCACUGCGACCUCCAGGGAGCUCCCAGGGGUCCCUUUUGUAAGAACACUGAUGCCAUUUAUAAGGUCUCUAUCCCCAUGACCUAGUCGCCUCCAAAGACCCCACCUCCUAACCCCAGGGGUCAGGAUUUCAACAUGAAUUUGGGGGGACACAGACAUUCAGGCUAUGGCAGCCCCCACAGCCACACCCAUGGAAGGCUCAGUUCUUUGUAAAUGAGCUCCUCUGAGGGGUGGCUUCCUCUUUGGGGUCCUGUCUGAUGUUUGGGGCGGGGCUUCUCUGUCCUCGCUGUGAACUGACAAGACGAGGUACAGCAAGCAGGCGUUUUAACAACAAGCCUUGUGAGUGUAAUGCCCGGAUAACCGGAUCCACCCGUGGCCUUGGCGACGCCCACUUCUUGACACGGGGAAUGGGACCCAAAUGUGCACAGGACCAAGAGGAAAGCGCACGGUGACAGGUAACGGCCGCGGCAGUUCAGAGGACCGUGCCGCCCAGGUCUCUGAGCUGGGGACCCAGGGCGCUCCCAGAGUUGGCGGGCGUGGCCCUGCUCUGCGCUGAGGGGAAGAGCGAUGGAGGAGAGCUGACCUCCUGGUGGGAGGCCGGCCAAGCCCCCAAUUCAGGACUCGUCCCCUCUCCAAGAGCCCUAGCAACCUGUUUGCAUCACCUGAGGGCCGAGGAUGGACCGAGACCCGAGGAGCCAGAUGGAGGCGGGAGCUCGGAGGAGGGAGAGUGGGGGUUUAGCUGCUAUUACGUGUGGGAGCAAUCCAUCCCUGAAGAAGGCACCGAAAUUCUGUGGAAGGGGCAGACGCCCCGGAGGAAGAACGCCCUGUGAAGUGGUCCUAUGAUGAUCCCUUGAUCGCGGAAGAGGGAACUGAGAUCCAGUGCAUUUUUAGGUGACUUAGUCAACGUCACUGGCAGUCUGCGGAGCCAAGGUUGGAACCAGCUGUGUGGCUCCGGGCCCGCCUCCUCCCCUCUGGGUGUCAGCGUCUCCUGUAUGAAGUGAAGAUGUUGGCCUCAGUCGCCGCUGGAGGAGUGCUUCUCAGGCGGUGAUGUGCGGGAACCUCCCUCCCAGGCACCUUGUUAAAAUGCAGAUCCCAUGCAGGCGCUUGGGGUGGGGCCUGAGACCCGGCCUGUGCCGCUAGCUCCCAGGGGAAGGUGGUGCUGAUGCUGUGACCCUGACCGCACGGGCGCAGCCAGGCUCUGGGGACCCGCCCGCCUCUCUCGUUCUGAGUUUAUGGGCCUGGGAAGAUUCGCCCCAAAGGCCAGGAAAAUUCCGGAAGCGGGCUGUCUGAAUACAGCCAGCCCUUCGUGGUCUCUCCUGCCUGGACAAGCCCUGGUGCCUUUUGUGAAGCACCUGCCCCUGAGUCUUCACAUUUCCACUCCACUGACCUUGGCCUGACGCCCCGAGGGUUCAUGAGCUUGGUCCUGGGCUGAGGGGGCUCCCGGUCCCCUGGCAGCCACACUGCUAGUGCUGCAGAGCUGGUCACACAUACACUCCAGCCCCAUCUUCUGGGCACGUGUAGGGUGACACUUCUCUGCAUCUCUUGAAGUGAGAUGUGGCCACGUGCUCACUCUGGCCUCUGAAUUAAGAUGGGAAGUGUCACUUGCGGGCAGAAAUCUUUAAGAGCCGCUGUGUAAGUCAUUCCCCACAACUGAGAGUAUCGUUCACUCGUCCUGUGCAUUUACCAUGUGUCGUUGCCAUAACUGAAGACCUAAAAUGUAUGAACUUACCCAGUCUCAGUCACCCCGUGAGGUAGGCACUGUUCUGUACCCAUUUACAGUUGGUCUGUGGGCCCGGAUCCGUGAGCGGAACCUCCCCUGCCAGCAUGCAGGAUGUGUGGGACCGGGCGUCCAUGUUUCUGCAAACUCAUGGUCGUGGCCUGUCACAGAGCUAAUGCUCCCCGAGGAUGGGAACACCACCGCCCCCUGGUUUUUGCCAGCCUCUACUGAAAGGCUACAGGUAUGUCCCCAGUGCCUCACCCCAAGCCUGGCUCACAGAACACCUCACUCGCACCUGUGUCCGGGUUUGCACAGCUAUUACUGGCAGGUUGGUUACGGCCACUAGUUUCCUGGGUGUCAGCCAGUCUUCUUCGGAUGUCCUUGCCCCUCGGCCCAGUGUCCUCAAGGACAAGGGUCAUUCCCGGGUGGCCCCUUUGCUCCUACGACAUGGACGCCCAGAUGCCAGCAUGACAUGGGAAAAAGGAAAAUUCCACAGGCCUCAGCCUGAAUCUACAGCCCACAAGUCCGGUCUCUGCCAGACCCAAGCUGAGAUCAAAUGUCUUCAAGCCCAGACUCAGCCCCAUCGGAGAGGGGGCAUUGGGCACUCUCAAGACCAAAGGGAUCCCUGGUGAAUCAGGAAAGUUAUUGGGCUGGAAAGCGAUUAGAGAGCAGAGCGUGGGAGGGAAUUUCCACUGGGAACGCCAGGCCCAUGAGCAAGCCUAGGCCGGUCGGCGGCAGAGUGCCGCUCCGCUGAGGUCUGUUGCAAUGGUGCCCGUAAAACCCCGAUCCUGAGACGUGAAGCCUUGAUCCGUUUCUUCUUCUGCUUCCCUUGAGAGAAACAGAGAUCCCAGGAAACCCCACAGCCCUGGAACAGAGGGCCCCACAUCAAAGGCCAAGGGUCAGGGGGACCCCGCUGAGGGAGAGGUCAGCUGCAGGGGUCCCCCAUGGAGAGGAGGGCAGGGGGGGACCGUGGACUGGAGGGUACGGGCAGAAGCCCAGAAGGGAGGGGGAGCUGGGCUGGAAGCGGGCCUGGUUUCUGACCUGGCCAGGUGAGGAGGGGCCACCUGACUGCAUGGACCUGGGAACGUGGGUCAGGCUCCUCUUGUCACACCCAAAGGGGGGCCCACGAUAUGGCUGUUCCUUAGCCCCUACACCAGCCAGGCUUUCUCGCAAAUAUAAGACAGGCCAGGGAGGUUUCAUUUUAAGGACAAGGGUACUGAGGUCAGAGACAGGGAGGGACCUGUUUAAGGUGUCACAGGGCUGGGGAUGUAAGACCAGCGCCCUCACCUUCCUCUGCACCAGCUGGUGGGCUCCCUGAAAACCCAGGUCGCUGGGCCCCGAGCCCAGUUUCUGACUUGGCAGGGCUGGGGUGGAGCUUAGAAUGUGCUUUUCUAACACAGCCCCGGGGCGCUGCUGCCGGGGGCCCACUUUGAGACCCUUGCUACUUAAAGUGUGUUCCAUGUUCUAAUAGUACCAGUGUUUCACGGAAGCUUCUAGAAAUGCAGAAUCUCAGGCUCCACCCCAGACCUCCUGAAUCAGAAACUGCAUUUACAAGCUCCCCAGGCUACCUGUCUGCACGGUUCAGUCUGAGAAGCACUGGUGCACCGCACACACCGCCUCCCCACUGGGAGUCAGACCCAGGUUGCCUGGACGUGAGGCGACAGGCAGUGGGGUCAGAGAGUAAGACAGGCCUCGUAGGUGGGCAGGCCUUGUAGGGCUGAGGGCAGCAUCACUGACGGGCUUUACUCAGGGAGAGAUGAGAAGGCUCUGGUGGAUUGCAAGCAAAAGAGUGACAUCAUCUUUCUGCCAUUUAAAAAGUUUUGCCGUUCUAUUUUGUAAGUCAGGCUCUCCUCAAUGCUUUUUCUACAGAUGGCGUCUAACAACGAAUGACCACUAAACAGAAUUUGCAGUGGGAUGUAUCAUAAGCUGCAUGACUUGUGCCUCUCCCCCUUACGCCCACCUUCCUUUCCAGCCCCUGGUGUGGGCCCACGCUCCCUGCUGCACACGCGGGACGGCUCAGACCUAGCUAGACAUGUCCAGUGCACGGCUCCCCCUGGCUCUCCAAGGUGUCUUGAUCCUUCUAAAGGCCCGAGUAAGAAAUCCACCGGGGCCCGAGCCUCUCCCAGGUGGGGCUGCCCAGCAAGACGCCAGUCCUGGGGAAUGAUUUAGAAAUGAGUCAGCCGCCCUAGUCCCCGGAGGUCAUGAGAAUGGAGUGCAGGACUCCCAGGUUCCAAGGACCUCCCUCCACAGCCGCUGGGGACAUGUGCUGUCGGUGCUUAGGUGUGCGUGGUGUCACCCACAGAAGCUGAGCGGCCUCAGCCACUCCACGCUCCUGUCCCAGCGUUGCCAUUUACAAAGCUGCGUGACCCCUUCCAGGUGGCUUGACCUCUCUGAGGCUCAUUUUUCUCCUCAGUAAGAUAAUAAUGCCUAUCCAUCAGGGGACUCAGACAGCUGCGAGCGGGCUCUGUGACCUUUCAAAGUCCGCGUGACCUUUCAAAGCCCGCAUGACCGCGAAUGAACCUGGAGCUGGAGGGAACAUCAAGAGUCCCCGGCCAGGGGGAGGGCAGCAGGAAGGGACAGAGAUGGGCCAGCAGGAGCACAGCCUGGCUUAGGGCCCUGGCCCCUCGGUGACAGAGCUCUGGGUGGUAGCGGGACUGUGCCCUGAGGCUGGGGCACUCAGGAGGCCGCAUGGAGGGAUGGGGCAGGUGUGCAGCUAGAGAGAGGAGCCACAAAGGGCAACGCUGGGGGUCCCUAAGUUGGGGCUUGGGCACUGCCGCCCUCUGGGCCUCAAGGGACACCUGUCUUGGCUGCCUGCUCUCUCUCCCAGAGGGGGUUAGGGAGUCAGCUGUCCCUUGUAUGUGGGGGAUGUUCCCGCAGCUCGCGGGCUGAAGAACUGUGGAUGGGACACUGACAGGUGUCCCUACACCUCCUGGGUUGGGUGCUGCAGGGGAGGGCACCCCGCCACACUGGGCAGGAAGGCGGGAGCGCUGGGGGUGGGCACAAAGAGGCUUUCCUGCUGCCAUUAUCACAUUAGUCCCAUAAUCAUCUGCUAUUAACACGUCAGCGACCAGAGACCCCUUAAGACAGAGAGGGCCUGGAGGACCAGGCCUGGUGGGCCUGGUGGGCACAGUCGCCAUCUUGCAGCGCCCGGCCUGGGUCCCCAUCGUCCUCUAGAGGCAGUAGGGGUGGGGGGAGGGCAGGAACCAUGUUUGUCGAGGCUCUGAGUGGCCAAGCCCUGCCUCUCUGGCCUUCCACAAACAGUGUCUAACUUACCCAUCAGGAGCCAUGAGAUAAGAAUAAAGUCAUCCUCCCGUAUGACGGAUGAGGAGACUUCAGGACAGUGAAGCUGCCCACAGUGGGCAGGACACAGCGGUCGGGGUGGGGGCCGGGGAGAGCGGAGGUCUGAACCCAACUCGGCAAAGCUCACGUCUUCACACAACACUCUUUCCGAGAAGAGGGGGGAAGGCCUCCGCCGCUUCGUCCACGUUCCUGCAACUCAGUCCAGGAAAACGUCCGUUCUCUCAGGAGGGGGAGCAUCACGCCUGGGGACACUCCACCAGGCCUGGGGCCACAUCGGCUGAGCCAUGGGCCCUCCUAGUGCGUGUGGUGGAGCGGACUGCAGGCAGUGACAUCUCUAGGACAUGAUGGGGACCCUUCUCCACCAAGUGGCCUCCAGGUUCCUCUCCUCUGUUCACAUUGGCUGCUUCUGCGUGUCCUCCUCUAGCUGGGGAUGUGGGUGGGAGAAGGGGUAAGCCCAUCGGGCCAGCAGGCAGCGGUGGGCAGCCUCCCCAGGGCCCUUACGGAGAAAUCUGCCCCUAGGGGAGGAACCCAACGUCGGCUGCGUUCCCACUGCCCCCACUCCAACCCCAGGAUGUUCCCCAUUUUCCUGACUGCACAGCGCCAGGGGGGAGCUGGCCGAGCUAGGUCAGGGGGCAGAGGCUGGGGGGCCAGGCCCCCCGCGGUCCGGAAGCAUCCAGCAGCUGCCUGGCGCCCACCAUGCAAGUCCCAACCGGUGCCACUGCGAGACCGAGGCCGCGGCACCGGCCCACGCCCGUCCCGGGCAGCCACCCCCUCCUCCUGUUCCACCACCUCCCGCAGCGGCCAAGGCCUGGAGCAGUGAGGUUCCGAGAAGCGGCGGACGGAGGCCCGAAGGCCGGCGCCGCUGGGUAAGCGGUGCCCUCCCGGCACCAGCCCUCCCGCCGGCGCCCCCGGCCGGCUCCGCCUCCGGGGCUCUGCCUGGGCGGGCGCGCGGCGCGGGGGGGCGGGCUGGCGGGGCAGGAAUGCGCCGCGCGGGAGGCGGCGGCGGGACAUGUAAGGGCAAGUCCUCGGCGCUGCCGCCCAGCGCGCAGACCGAGCCCAGCGGAGCCGGCGAGCGAGCGGCGCGCAGG